ensembl:lncRNA
AAUCGCUUCAAAUACUAUAUUUGAUCGCAUAAAGCAGUUAGCAUUAUAAACGUUGCCGUUAGGGGCGUUAACGUGACUGUAUUCUAUUUUACAAUGAGUUUUUCUUUCUCGAGUCUCGAGUCAAUGGCGGAGACAAUCGUGCCCGGAAAGUGAAAUCAAAGGUCAUUCUCUCCCCCUCACCUCGUGCAUGAACUCACUGUUAUCUGAGGACUACUCCAGUGGUAUGACCUGGAUUUCUCCCUCUCUAGGCCCAUGCUGUGCACAGUUGGGGGGCCUGAAGCUCCAGCAGCCACUUAUUUAGGGAAAGAAAAGCAAAAUCUUCAGUCUUCCAGCCUCACUUUCUUGUUACAAAGCCACUGAGGACUGAACACGGUCUUGGUCUGGUUAUUAAUUUUCUUAAGUUUUUUUUUAACGUCAUUGUAUAUCCUUCUGGACCUAGACAUCAAACCCGGAUCAGGAGAUUCCAGUUUGAGUUAAUCGACAUGCAAAUAUUCCAGCCAUUUCAUGACUAGCUUGGAAUAAUAUAUAUUUCUGAGGAGGAGAUGUAGAUCUGAGGUAUGUAAAGUUAUGGGUUCAGUUAUAACCAAUUCUGUGUAUCGGAACGCUAUUCUGACAAUACACUGAGUUGCUAAUAUUUGAGG